CUCAAUUCUGCGGGACGUAUACUAAAACUGGAACAAUAAAGAAAAGAUUAGCAUAGCCCCAACUCAAGGAAAGGCACUAAAAGUUGUGAAGUAAUCUUCAGCAUC
rnacentral:snRNA from 1 species